CUCUGUGACUCCGUACGGGAGGCAGCAGUGGGAAUAUUGGACAAGUGGGGCAACCCUGAUCCAGCCAUGCCGCGUGAGUGAUGAAGGCCUUAGGGUUGUAAAGCUCUUUCAGCGAGGAGGAUAAUGACGUUACUCGCAGAAGAAGCCCCGGCUAACUUCGUGCCAGCAGCCGCGGUAAUACGAAGGGGCUAGCGUUGUUCGGAAUCACUGGGCGUAAAAGCGCACGUAGGCGGAUUGAUAAAGUUAGGGUGAAAAUCCCGGGCUCAACCUCGGAAACUGCCUUUGAUACUGUCAGUCUUGAGUCCGAGAGAGGUGAGUGGAACUCCGAGUGUAGAGGUGAAAAUUCGUAGAUAUUCGGAAGAACACCAGUGGCGAAGGCGGCUCACUGGCUCGGUACUGACGCUGAGGUGCGAAAGCGUGGGGAGCAAACAGGAUUAGACACCCUGGUAG
rnacentral:rRNA from 1 species